rnacentral:rRNA from 1 species
ACGGAAGGCAGCAGUGGGGGAUAUUGGACAAUGGGGGAAACCCUGAUCCAGCGACGCCGCGUGAGUGAAGAAGUAUUUCGGUAUGUAAAGCUCUAUCAGCAGGGAAGAAAAAAUAACAAUUGACAGUACCUGACUAAGAAGCCCCGGCUAACUACGUGCCAGCAGCCGCGGUAAUACGUAGGGGGCAAGCGUUGUCCGGAAUGAUUGGGCGUAAAGGGCGCGUAGGCGGCCCGGUAAGUCUGGAGUGAAAGUCCUGCUUUUAAGGUGGGAAUUGCUUUGGAUACUGUCGGGCUUGAGUGCAGGAGAGGUAAGUGGAAUUCCCAGUGUAGCGGUGAAAUGCGUAGAGAUUGGGAGGAACACCAGUGGCGAAGGCGACUUACUGGACUGUAACUGACGCUGAGGCGCGAAAGUGUGGGGAGCAAACAGGAUUAGAUACCCUGGUA